rnacentral:rRNA from 1 species
UACGUAGGUGGCAAGCGUUGUCCGGAUUUACUGGGCGUAAAGAGCGCGCAGGCGGUCGUUCAAGUCGCGUGUGAAAGCCCCCCGGCUCAACUGGGGAGGGUCACGCGAUACUGAUCGACUGGAAGGCAGGAGAGGGUAGUGGAAUUCCCGGUGUAGCGGUGAAAUGCGUAGAUAUCUGGAGGAACACCGGUGGCGAAGGCGGCAUCCUGGACCAUUACUGACGCUGAGGCGCGAAAGCGUGGGGAGCAAACAGG